UGGGAGCAAAUGCCUCAAAUGGAGUGUCGCAU
rnacentral:piRNA from 1 species